rnacentral:rRNA from 1 species
CUUAUGCAUGCAAGUCGAGCGAUGAGACUCCUACGGGAGCACAUCAGCGGCAGACGGGUGAGUAACACGUAGAUGACGUACCCUCAAGACGGGGAUAACGGAUGGAAACAUGCGCUAAUACCGGAUGACCUUACGAUGUCAGAAUGGUAAGGAAAGCUACGGCGCUUGAGGAGCGGUCUGCGGCCCAUCAGCUAGUUGGUAGGGUAAAGGCCUACCAAGGCGAAGACGGGUAGGGGGUGUGAGAGCACGGCCCCCCACAAUGGGACUGAGACACGGCCCAUACUCCUACGGGAGGCAGCAGCAGGGAAUAUUGCACAAUGGACGGAAGUCUGAUGCAGCGACGCCGCGUGAGUGAAGAAGGCCUUCGGGUUGUAAAACUCUUUUGAGGGGGAAGAGCGAGGACGGUACCCCUGGAAUAAGCGUCGGCUAACUACGUGCCAGCAGCCGCGGUAAGACGUAGGACGCGAGCGUUAUCCGGAUUUACUGGGCGUAAAGCGUCUGUAGGCGGAUGUGUAAGUUGGGCGUGAAAGCUCCGGGCUUAACCCGGAGAGGCCGUUCAAUACUGCAUAACUUGAGGGUGUCAGAGGGGAGCGGAAUUCCCGGUGUAGCGGUAAAAUGCGCAGAGAUCGGGAGGAACACCAGUGGCGGAGGCGGUUCCCUGGGGCACACCUGACGCUGAGAGACGAAAGCUAGGGGAGCGAACAGGAUUAGAGACCCUGGUAGUCCUAGCCCUAAACGAUGAAUGCUAGGUGUGGGAUCGAAUGGUUCCGUGCCGGAGCGAACGCGAUAAG